rnacentral:rRNA from 1 species
GUGGGUAGUUUGACUGGGGCGGUCUCCUCCUAAAGAGUAACGGAGGAGCACGAAGGUUGGCUAAUCCUGGUCGGACAUCAGGAGGUUAGUGCAAUGGCAUAAGCCAGCUUGACUGCGAGCGUGACGGCGCGAGCAGGUGCGAAAGCAGGUCAUAGUGAUCCGGUGGUUCUGAAUGGAAGGGCCAUCGCUCAACGGAUAAAAGGUACUCCGGGGAUAACAGGCUGAUACCGCCCAAGAGUUCAUAUCGACGGCGGUGUUUGGCACCUCGAUGUCGGCUCAUCACAUCCUGGGGCUGAAGUAGGUCCCAAGGGUAUGGCUGUUCGCCAUUUAAAGUGGUACGCGAGCUGGGUUUAGAACGUCGUGAGACAGUUCGGUCCCUAUCUGCCGUGGGCGCUGGAGAACUGAGGGGGGCUGCUCCUAGUACGAGAGGACCGGAGUGGACGCAUCA